GUUGGGUGUGGUGGUGCAUUCCUGUAGUCCCAGCUACUUGGGAGGCUGAGGUGGGAGGAUUGCUUGAGCCCAGGAGUUGAAGGCCACAGUGGGUCAUGAGUAUGCCUCUGAGCAGCCACUGCAUUUCAGCCUGGGCAACACAGUGAGAUCCCAACUCUU
rnacentral:SRP_RNA from 1 species